CAGUUUUAUUUUACAUCCUAAAUUUUUGCACUUAGGAAGACAAUGUGUAAAUUGUGGUCCCAAGUCAAUGUACAUCCUCAGGUAAAUGACUUGCCAACUCAGAAAUGCCAAAAGUUUUUAUUUUUAUUACAUGGUGAAGAAAUUGAAGUGAACUAUUAAACAGGGAGACCCUUUAGCCUACAAAUAUCCAGUUUAAACUUCCUUCACUCUUGUCUUAAUUAUGAUACACUAAAGUUGACCUUGGACUGUCCUCUCUCUCUUCCCUGAUUUCACUUUUCCUUUUUUCUAGGUUCAUUCCUUAGAGUUCUUUUGGAGUGUACCCUGUAGUAACUUCCACAAGGGCCCCUUUCUAUGUCUAUAGCGGUCUACAUUUUCUUUAGAUUUCUCAUAUGCUUGAUUAAUAAUUUCACUUCACAUGAACCUCUUGGUGUGAAUUUCCCUUGGAAUAUUGAAGAUAUUGCUCCAUUGGGUUCAAGAUUCUGUUUUUAUAGUUCACUUGACUUUUCUAGUUAAUUUUCCAAAUUUAUGACUCUCCCAUACCUGAUGAUACUGGGGUAUCUACAAUUUCCCUAAAUUUUUCCCAGACAGAUGUCUUCUUGGUAGGAAUUCUAUACAGGACUUAAUAAGGGGCAAAUCAUUAUGGUAAGAGAGCAGA
rnacentral:lncRNA from 1 species